GAGGAGAGACCUCUGUAGUUACAUAGACCUCGGCUGUGUGAUCUUGGACAUUCUUAAAGCACCUUAGCCUGUUACCGGCACUGCAAAGCCUCCAAGUAAAGCAACCUCUUGAACUUUGUUUAAAACAAUAUUUUCUCAACACAGUUUGACAUGGUGGUUCCUAUUGUUUACAGAUCACUGGAAUUCAGAGAGAAUCAGACAUAUGAAACAAAGUUCAGGGAUGUAUGCUGCAGCUAAGCACUUGGAAGAGCGAGUCCGUGGAGAUUAGAUGCGGAAAGAGAAAAUGAAGGGAAGGCGAGAAAAUGUUCGCUGGAAGAGAGCGAGCGGUUGCAAUUUGCACCCCCUCCCGCCCCUCGACGCAGGCAAUUCCUCGCACGCACCUGGCGGCGCGGGCCGCGCGGCUUCCGCGCGGCUAAU